rnacentral:rRNA from 1 species
AUUGAACGCUGGCGGCAUGCCUUACACAUGCAAGUCGAACGGCAGCGGGGGAGAAGCUUGCUUUUCCUGCCGGCGAGUGGCGAACGGGUGAGUAAUACAUCGGAACGUGCCCUGUAGUGGGGGAUAACUAGUCGAAAGAUUAGCUAAUACCGCAUACGACCUGAGGGUGAAAGUGGGGGACCGCAAGGCCUCAUGCUAUAGGAGCGGCCGAUGUCUGAUUAGCUAGUUGGUGAGGUAAAGGCCUGCCAAGGCGACGAUCAGUAGCUGGUCUGAGAGGACGAUCAGCCACACUGGGACUGAGACACGGCCCAGACUCCUACGGGAGGCAGCAGUGGGGAAUUUUGGACAAUGGGCGAAAGCCUGAUCCAGCAAUGCCGCGUGUGUGAAGAAGGCCUUCGGGUUGUAAAGCACUUUUGUCCGGAAAGAAAUGGCUCUGGUUAAUACCUGGGGUCGAUGACGGUACCGGAAGAAUAAGGACCGGCUAACUACGUGCCAGCCGCCGCAGUAACAC